rnacentral:rRNA from 1 species
AUUGAACGCUGGCGGCAUGCCUUACACAUGCAAGUCGAACGGUAACGGGCCUUCGGGUGCCGACGAGGGGCGACCGGGGGCGUAAUACAUCGGAACGUGCCCGAACGUGGGGGAUAACGAGGGGAAAGGUUUGGUAAUAUCGGCUACUAUCUCAUGCUGCCAGCAGGUGAACGCAAGGGAUUUUCGGGACUGGGGGGCCGAUGGCAGAUUAGGUAGUUGGCGGGAUAAAGGCGUACCAAGGCGACGAUCGGUAGCUGGUCUGAGAGGAUGAUCAGCCACACUGGAACUGAGACACGGCCCAGACUCCUACGGGAGGCAGCAGUGGGGAAUUUUGGACAAUGGGCGCAAGCCUGAUCCAGCCAUGCCGCGUGCAUGAAGAAGGCCUUCGGGUUGUAAACUGCUUUUGUACGGAACGAAAAGCCGUCGUUUAAUACAGGAGUGUUAUGACGGUACCGUAAGAAUAAGCACCGGCUAACUACGUG